UGGGGCGCUGCUGUACGUGCGCGGCUUUACGGCGACGCGAGGACACACCUGUGAGUUUCUCAACGUUUUCGUCUUAAAUAUCUACUUCUACUUACACCACCGUUUCCGCAUUCGUCGAUGAACGAUGGAGGGUUACGAGGACGACGACGACACACACUUUUGCAUCAAGUGUCACUUGACGAUACACGGAUUGGAAAAUUACGUUCGUCAUCGUCAAUCAGGAUGUCGUCCGCCAGAUGACAAAACAGAAACCGCACGAGAAUCGCCCUCUACGCCAACGACGAUCUCUUAUCCUGAGAUACUGAACGCAGACGCUUUCUUCAGUUCGUUGGAAUUACAGAGCAGCUCGAAAUCGAAUGCCAGACGUACGAACACUCUAUUAGAGAACAACAGAAAAGAAGACAAGAAGAACGAACGCCGAAAGAAAGGACAGAAAAAUCAACCGGAUACCGAGGAUUCCAAAGAAAAACUUCACAGUAUGUUACCCGGUGAUACCGACUUGGACGAUUCCGAGGAACAUCUCUGCAUUCAGUCUUUCGUUGGGUUCACCGAUAUCGUUACUUCCUCCACGCCCAAUAAAUCGACAAAUACCGUAGGUGCGAGUAAAUUGAAUCAAUCGAUUAGACAUACAACGAUGAACAUCGAAGGAUCGAGUUUUCCGAAUAAACACGAGCCGGAUAAUUCUUUGGAAGAUCUUGUCGCUGAAUCGAAACAAACAGAUAGGAAAAGGCCGGAAGAAAAUCCGAGAAUAGAGCAGGAUCAUCAAACGUGGUUAGACGACGCGAUACUGGUCGAUCUCGAUGAAAAUAAGGAUUUGGCUAGGUACGAGGAAUUCGUAUAUCAGGAGGAUGUUGAUUCGGACGAUGACAUGUUAGAUGAGGAUCUCGCCGAAGACGAAUCUUAUUCCGAGUCCGAUGACGGUGAAGAUCAGGAAAGACCACCUAGAGGACACACAGGUGGGAAAUGGAAGCCUGGCUUGAAUGAUCUUCCUCAAGAUAUACCUCAGCUGCAGGAUGACGAAGUGGAAGUCGAAGAGGAUCAACAUUCGGAGCAUCCACCGCCCACUUAUACAGGUGGCAAGUGGAAACCUACGGAAUCAUCUCAGAAAGUCGAGGAUUAUCAGGGGAAGAAUACAGAGGGACAACCACCGCCAGAACAUACGCGAGGAAAAUGGAUACCGGGUGCGCAAACGGAUAUCGACUCGGGAUAUUGGUGCAAUCCUUGCGGCAGGAAGCUUGCGUCGCGAUUGGUCUAUAACAGGCAUCUUCUCUCUGAUUUGCACGCUCGAAGAAGCAUUCGAGAGAUCGACGAUGGUGUUCAUCUACCGCGUGACGCAACCUCAACGAGGAGAAUGUUAACGCGACGGCAAGUCGCACUAGCCGAGAAAAGUAAACGUACAUCCGAGGAUAAAGAAGUCAAGAAGAAUACUCGUAGAAGGGAGAAAGAAGUACUCUCCUGUGAGAUGUGUCACGCUCGCGUGAGAAAAGCUCAAAUGGGCAAACAUUUGCUUUCCCAUUACCAUUGUCGCGUGGCGGGAAUAAAUCCUCGAGGUCCAAAGGCGCGUCGGUUUCUCUUGGAGAACAUGGGGAACGUAGUUCGCCAGUGUCCAUUUCAAUGCGCCGCUUGUCGUUUCUAUUGCAACACUCAGGAAACGUUUUUAAUUCAUUGGCGCUCCGACCUUCAUACCAAGACUUUAGAAAAAAUCAGUGGAAGUUAUCGAUGCGGUUCUUGCGAUUUCUGGUGUGCGGACGGAGACACGAUGGAAACCCACUUAUUAAGCACGAGUCAUUGUGACGUUGUUUCAAUGAUGAACGGUUCGGUACCGGUGGUAAUCAGUCGUCAACAAGCAUUGCCCUGUGGCAGCUGCAACCGUCAAUUCCGAUAUAAUCUGCAGCUGCGACUGCACGUCAAAGAGACAGGACACAAGGAAAGCUUCACAGCAUCGGACCAGUAUCAACGACGUAUCACUUGCAACAUGUGCCCCCAAGUCGUGAGAUCCUUGGUAUCUCUUCAACGCCAUCAGCUAACCUGUCACAUUAACAAGGAAGACGAAAACGACGAAUUGGACGUUUCCACGCAACCAACGCCUUACUUCUGUUCUUUUUGUUCGAUGAACUUUGCUACAGCUCAAGAAGCCGUUCGUCAUAGAAGAACAUCCAAUCACAAGGAGAUUGUUAAAGCCCAAAAAUCCGUUUCCAAAGAAAAUUCCGAAAGCAUGUUUCGAGAUUGUCCGCAUUGCGACGAGAAACAAUCGACUCUCACGGAACACAAAGAUCAUCUUCUUGAUAGACAUCCUGACUUGUGUCACAGGUGUCCACAAUGCGGAAUACUCUUCGCUCUUUCGCAAGACGUAACGAGACACACCAGGGACAACAAGUGCAGCAAGACAAAAGAAGACACCGAGCCUAACACAACGAUUGUUAGGGUAGAAUGGAUAUGCUCAAUUUGUAAUUUCUUAACAGAUUCUCAAGCGGAAUUCAUCUUUCACGAGGCUCUCCAUGAGGGUAGCGUUCAAUCGAACAAAGACGAAGACAAUAAUGGCAAGUCGACCGUCAAAUAUAGGUGUCCCCUCUGUAAAAAGAUCUUCAGAAAAGUAUCUCUAAGGAACCAUAUCAGAAGUCAUACAGGUGAACGACCAUUUUCAUGUGCCAAAUGCUUCGUAUCAUUUGUAAGAAGAUCUGACUUGAAUGCUCAUCAAAGAAAUUGUUCGUCGACUGACUGGCCAAACGAGAUUCGUCGAAAAAGAAGUUUUACCUGUUCGGAAUGUAAUGGCGCCUUUUACACUAAACACGCAUUACGACAACACAUGUAUAGGCAUGCCGGUAAGAAGUACAAAUGCGGUCUUCCGGGUUGUCCUACGGUACUCCGCACAGCUUCCGAGUUAAAGUAUCAUCGUUCGUUGGUUCACGACAGCACGUCCACUAAUAGACGGUUUCCAUGCGGCCAAUGUUCUUACGCGGCCAAAACGAUGAGUCAACUUCGCAGGCAUCUGGUCAGGCACGAGGACUCAAUGAGCGAUGAGAAACUUGGUUAUCAUUGCUGUCCUCACUCUGGUUGCACUUUUAGAACCAGAUUCGGAUUUCAUCUAAGACGACACAUGCGGCUACACACGGGUACCAAGCCGUACAAAUGUCGUUAUUGUACUUACGCCUGCUACAGUCUGACAGGAGCGAAAGUAAAAUUAAAAUUCGGUUAAGGCUCGACAGAUCGAUUCGCUAAUUGGGCAGAAGGUCAAUUAAGGGAAUUUCGAUGUUUCGAGAGAGUAAACUCGAUCUUACCUCGGACAGAAAAAGUCCGAAUCGUUCAACUUGUCCGAUUUUUGUACGGCGAACGAGCCCGUGGGCGUAAAUUAAGGAAAGUACACCUUAACGUUUGGACCGCGUCGAGUUCUCUGCUGGUGCCGGUACCGCCACAACCGUUGCUGCCACCGCCACCACCGACGCCAUCGCCACCGUCGCCACCACCGCCGCCGCCGCCGUCGCCGCCGCCGCCACCGCCGCCACCGCCGCGGACCGCGAUAAGAUAACGAGUUAAUUGUGCUCACUGGAUGCCCACACACGCACGGAAGAAGAGGAAAGCCGGGCCUCUCUCCGGUCAUACCGUGCUGGCCGGACAAUUUGAGAAAGCACAUACUCUCGAAGACUCUUCAUCCCGGCAAGACGAUCUACGAGUGCGACUUUUGCGCAACGGAAACAAAGGAAACGUUUUGCACGAAUUUCGCCAAAGAAUUGCGAGCUCAUCUUCUUGACU